CCUACGGGAGGCAGCAGUGGGGAAUUUUGGACAAUGGGCGCAAGCCUGAUCCAGCAAUGCCGCGUGAGUGAAGAAGGCCUUCGGGUUGUAAAGCUCUUUUGUCAGGGAAGAAACGGUUGGGGCUAAUAUCCUCGGCUAAUGACGGUACCUGAAGAAUAAGCACCGGCUAACUACGUGCCAGCAGCCGCGGUAAUACGUAGGGUGCAAGCGUUAAUCGGAAUUACUGGGCGUAAAGCGUGCGCAGGCGGUUUUGUAAGUCUGUCGUGAAAGCCCCGGGCUUAACCUGGGAAUUGCGAUGGAGACUGCAAGGCUUGAAUCUGGCAGAGGGGGGUAGAAUUCCACGUGUAGCAGUGAAAUGCGUAGAGAUGUGGAGGAACACCGAUGGCGAAGGCAGCCCCCUGGGUCAAGAUUGACGCUCAUGCACGAAAGCGUGGGGAGCAAACAGGAUUAGAUACCCUGGUAGUCCACGCCCUAAACGAUGUCUACUAGUUGUCGGGUCUUAAUUGACUUGGUAACGCGGCUAACGCGUGAAGUAGACCGCCGUGGGGAGUACGGUCGCAAGAUUAAAACUUCAAAUUGAAAUUGACGG
rnacentral:rRNA from 1 species